rnacentral:snRNA from 1 species
AAGGUUGCGCAGUGGCAGUAUCGUAGCCAAUGAGGUUUAUCCCAGGUGCGAUUACUGCUAAUUGAAAUAAAAGGUUGUGGGGACGCCUGGGUGGCUCAGUUGGUUAAGCAGCUGCCUUCGGCUCAGGUCAUGAUCCCAGGCUC